GGAUGUAAGGGUGACCUGGCCAUGACAUCUGCCACUCUACUGAUCGCCAGGGUUAACUAGCUGACCUGGCGGGCUUUAUGAUGUCCUCCUCUGUGUCACUGCUCCACAACUGUCCUUCCCAAAUCUGUGUGCUCAGGUGUACCCUCACCAGCUGAGGGCCCUUCUUUGAGCGC
rnacentral:snRNA from 1 species